GCCAGCGUGGCAUAGCGGUUUGAGCGUUGGACUACAGCUCUGGAAACCAGGGUUCGAAUCCUGGGUCAGCCA
rnacentral:tRNA from 1 species